AUUACGGCGGCGACCUACUCUCCCACACCGUACCCAGUGCAGUACCAUCGGCGCUGAAGAGCUUAGCUUCCGGGUUCGGAAUGGGACCGGGCGUUUCCUCUUCGCUAUAACCACCGUAAC
rnacentral:rRNA from 1 species